CACAUACACCUCUGUAUGAAACAGAAACAGCAAUUUCUUGCCAUGGAUUUUGAAGCUCUGAUUGAAAAUUACUCCUUCCACAAGGGCAUGAUACCUUUAUUGUAGUAGCGGGGUUCACGGUAAAACUUGAUGGCCUGUUUUGACUAUAGAUGCACUGACAUUGGUGCAGAUUGUGAGGAACUGUAACUGGCUAAAAACCUGUUUUAAGAGAGUGGAGGAAAAGAACUAUUCCAAAGUUGUGUUUUAAUUUACCUCUUUGUAGAACAACUCAAAGAGGGGACUGAUUCAAACAGCUUCUGGUAUUUUUGUCUUCCAGAUUCUGAGGACAAAACCUGUUGAUAAUGAAUUGUUCCAGAAGCACACGGAGAAAAUUGUACCUUGUGGAGGCUGUUUUGUCUGAGACCCCUUUUAAGAACUGAAAGACCACACAACAAGGUCUCCCCUUAAGGAGCCUUCUCUUCUCUGGGUUGAACAACCCCAACUCUCUCAGCCUGGCUUCAUUUGAGGGCUAUUUGCUUGUGCCAGAGGAACAUUGCCCUCAUCUCUAACUCAGUAGCUCUUUUCAGUCCAGCUAAAGAAAGCACAGAAGGGAAGGGAUGUGUGAAGUACCAUCAUCAGCAUAGCAAGUCCUGGCAGUGGUGGUUUGUCAUGUCAUUCGUUUCAUCCCAGAUGACCCAAGUGUCUUUUCUUGCCUGCUUAUGUGAAGCCACCGCAGACCUUCUCAUCAUACUGAAUUCCAUCUGGGGAGGCUUUGACCGUUUCUUGCAUGUUGUCAGUUUGAAGAUGACAGAAUUGUUUGGUGAGAAAACCUUUAAUGCAAGAGGUUGGGAAAGUUGGGUCUUUCAUAAAACCCAAGUAAAACUCGAGGAAGAAUCUCCCAAGUUCAGUGUAUUGAUUUCCUCAUCAAAGUUCAAGAGCUGUGUUUCAUGGCAGGCUGAAACUCAUCUCAACUCCUUAUGACCAGCUGAGCAAGAGAGAUGGGAUUUGAUGCUAUCCAAGGUGUAAUUCCACAGUUCAUGUCUUUUGCUAGUGCCAGCUUAAUAAGUUUCUGCCUACUCCCAGCCGUUCAUUUUCAGCUCAGCAGCAGUGCGGUGCUGUCUCUUCCCUGACUGUGUGGAAAACCAGAUGACUGCAAAUAGCCUCAGUCAAGGAAAGGAGCACUUGUGAGGUUUUUCUUUUGAAUUGGAAUGAUUUGGAUGACCUUGCGCACAGCACAGCCCAUGGGCAGUUGUGUCAGUAGAACUGAAGGUGAUGCUGACUGCAGCAUCAGAGGCAGCAGCGAAUGCUGGAGGCUGUCCCAGUGUUGCUGUCAACAGAGAUCUGCUCUGGGACCAUACCCUGGCUGAAGGGCUUUCACUAUCCACAGUCUUACUUAUUGAGCUACUGCUUUUCAUUUCAUUUCGUUUUAUUAAGAAGGAUUAACAUCUUGCUUGGGCAGGUUUGAGGGGUUUUUUUCUCCUUCAGGAGAUAAGCCAUGUCUGUGAGCAGUCAGUCAGCUUUGUGGACAGCCAUGAAUGUCAAUAAAGUCCUGGCAAACGCAGGA